rnacentral:rRNA from 1 species
CCUACGGGGGGCAGCAGUGAGGAAUAUUGGUCAAUGGGCGAGAGCCUGAACCAGCCAAGUCGCGUGAAGGAUGACGGCCCUACGGGUUGUAAACUUCUUUUGUCAGGGAGCAAUUGAGUCCACGUGUGGGCUUAGCGAGAGUACCUGAAGAAAAAGCAUCGGCUAACUCCGUGCCAGCAGCCGCGGUAAUACGGAGGAUGCGAGCGUUAUCCGGAUUUAUUGGGUUAAAAGGGUGCGUAGGCGGAAUAUCAAGUCAGCGGUAAAAAUUCGGGGCGCAACCCCGUCGUGCCGUUGAAACUGGCUGUCUUGAGAUGUCGAGAGGUAUGCGGAAUGCGCAGUGUAGCGGUGAAAUGCUUAGAUAUUGCGCAGAACUCCGAUUGCGAAGGCAGCAUACCGGCGGCGAUCUGACGCUGAGGCACGAAAGCGUGGGUAUCGAACAGGAUUAGAUACCCUUGUAGUC